GGAACCGUCAUGGGGCCUUGGAGUCGAGUCAGGGUUGCCAAAUGCCAGAUGCUGGUCACCUGCUUCUUUAUCUUGCUGCUGGGCCUCUCUGAGGCCACCAUAGUGACUCUUACCUACUUCGGGGCCCACUUUGCUGUCAUCCGCCAAGCGUCCCUGGAGAAGAACCCAUCCCAGGCUAUGCACCAAUGGGCCUUCUCUGCGGGGUUGAGCCUGGUGGGCCUCCUGACUCUGGGAGCUGUGCUGAGCGCUGCAGCCACCGUGAGGGAGGCCCAGGGCCUCAUGGCGGGGGGCUUCCUGUGCUUCUCCCUGGCGUUCUGCGCACAGGUGCAGGUGGUGUUCUGGAGACUCCACAGCCCCACCCAGGUGGAGGAUGCCAUGCUGGACACCUACGACCUGGUAUAUGAGCAGGCGAUGAAAGGCACAUCCCACGUCUGGCGGCAGGAGCUGGCGGCCAUCCAGGACGUGUUUCUGUGCUGUGGGAAGAGGUCUCCUUUCAGCCGUCUGGGGAACACAGAGGCUGACCUGUGUCAGGGAGAGGAGACGGCAAGAGAGGACUGCCUUCAGGGCAUCCGGAGCUUCCUGAGGACAUACCAGCAGGUCACCUCCAGCCUGACCAGCAUCGGCCUGGCCCUCACGGUACCCUCUCGCCUCCCUCACCGCCCCUUCCCACCUCCUACCCCUCAGCGUGCCCAGCCCCUGACUCAGAUGGAAGGGUGACCUGGGACAGGAUUUCUGGUCUUGGGCCUCACUGGCUGCCAACCUCAGGGAGCUGGUCUGGUGUGACAGUGCCUGCCUCCUACAGCUGGGCCGCCCCCUUACACUGCAGAGUCCUGAUGCUUCCUGGGGAUGGGCGCCCCCACCCAGGAGUAGGGGGGCAGCCGCGGGUGUCUCCCUCCCAGGUGUCCGCCUUGCUCCUCAGCUCCUUCCUGUGGUUUGCCAUCCGCUCUGGCUGCUGCUUGGACCGCAAGGGCAAAUACACCCUGGCCCC
rnacentral:sRNA from 1 species